rnacentral:tRNA from 1 species
CUUAAGAUUGGGACUCAUAAUCGCUUGGUCGCUGGUUCAAGUCCAGCAGGGGCCACCA